UAAGCAUUGAUGAACAGUAACAUAUAAGAAGAACCCAUUAGGAAGUGGGAUCUUCUAUGAAAUACAUUUGUUACGCUUGGCUUCUGAGCUUU
rnacentral:snoRNA from 1 species